AUUGAACGCUGGCGGCAUGCCUUACACAUGCAAGUCGAACGGCAGCACGGGAGCAAUCCUGGUGGCGAGUGGCGAACGGGUGAGUAAUAUAUCGGAACGUGCCCGGUCGUGGGGGAUAACGUAGCGAAAGCUACGCUAAUACCGCAUACGAUCUACGGAUGAAAGCGGGGAUCGCAAGACCUCGCGCGAUUGGAGCGGCCGAUAUCAGAUUAGGUAGUUGGUGAGGUAAAGGCUCACCAAGCCGACGAUCUGUAGCUGGUCUGAGAGGACGACCAGCCACACUGGGACUGAGACACGGCCCAGACUCCUACGGGAGGCAGCAGUGGGGAAUUUUGGACAAUGGGCGCAAGCCUGAUCCAGCAAUGCCGCGUGCAAGAUGAAGCCUCGGUUGUAACUAGCUUUGUACGGUACGAAC
rnacentral:rRNA from 1 species